AAGACCACAACAACAACAUAGAUGUCGACCACAAUGUUCCAGGGUGCUGCUGCUGCUGAUGUGACUCUGACAAAAGGCAUACAAUUUGUUGUGAGCCAGUGGAUCCCUGUGAGCCAGCUCAUACUCCAAUGAUGUUGAUGAUUUGUGAUGAAAUGAAGAAGCGGGAUCAGAAGCCACCACCAUACCACUGAUUUAUUCAGGCAUGGCAGAGUUUUUACAUGAAAAUGUUCGGCGAAUUAGUGCUGCCACAUCUAUCGCCUGCAUCCGCACAUGGACUUUUUUAUUUUAUUUGCUGCAAUUCACAAAUAACUGAACCUAGAGACCAAAUUGUGCAUUUACGUAAUGUGAAGUUGUUAUUGUUGUAACAAAAUUUUAACAAUGGUGAAGCUUUAAUACUUGUAAACACAAAACUAACUGGGAAAUAAAA